rnacentral:rRNA from 1 species
CCUGAGAAACGGCUACCACAUCCAAGGAAGGCAGCAGGCGCGCAAAUUACCCACUCCCGGCACGGGGAGGUAGUGACGAAAAAUAACGAUACGGGACUCAUCCGAGGCCCCGUAAUCGGAAUGAGUACACUUUAAAUCCUUUAACGAUUAACAAUUGGAGGGAAAGCCUGGUGCCAGCAGCCGCGGUAAUUCCAGCUCCAAUAGCGUAUAUUAAAGUUGUUGCGGUUAAAAAGCUCGUAGUUGAAUCUGUGUCCCACACUGUCGGUUCACCGCUCGCGGUGUUCAACUGGCAUGUUCGUGGGACGUCCUACCGGUGGGCGCAGCCCGUCAAAAGGCGGCCCAACUCAAAAUCCUACCACGGUGCUCUUCACCGAGUGUCGAGGUGGGCCGGUACGUUUACUUUGAACAAAUUAGAGUGCUUAAAGCAGGCUCAUUUGCCUGAAUAUUGUGUGCAUGGAAUAAUGGAAUAGGACCUCGGUUCUAUUUUGUUGGUUUUCGGAACUCCGAGGUAAUGAUUAAUAGGGACAACUGGGGGCAUUCGUAUUGCGACGUUAGAGGUGAAAUUCUUGGAUCGUCGCAAGACGGACAGAAGCGAAAGCAUUUGCCAAAUGUGUUUUCAUCAAUCAAGAACGAAAGUUAGAGGUUCGAAGGCGAUCAGAUACCGCCCUAGUUCUAACCAUAAACGAUGCCAGCUAGCGAUCCGCCGAAGUUCCUCCGAUGACUCGGCGGGCAGCUUCCGGGAAACCAAAGCUUUUGGGUUCCGGGGGAAGUAUGGUUGCAAAGCUGAAACUUAAAGGAAUUGACGGAAGGGCACCACCAGGAGUGGAGCCUGCGGCUUAAUUUGACUCAACACGGGGAACCUCACCAGGCCCAGACACCGGAAGGAUUGACAGAUUGAGAGCUCUUUCUUGAUUCGGUGGGAGGUGGUGCAUGGCCGUUCUUAGUUGGUGGAGCGAUUUGUCUAGUUAAUUCUGAUAACGAACGAGACUCUAGCCUGCUAAAUAGGCGUACUUUCCGGUAUCUCGAAGGCCCUCCGGCUCGGCUUCGGUCGUUCUCGGUGUGGUUUUUACUACCGGCGUACACAUAUAUCUUCUUAGAGGGACAGGUGGCAUUUAGUCGCACGAGAUUGAGCAAUAACAGGUCUGUGAUGC